rnacentral:rRNA from 1 species
GAUGAACGCUGGCGGCGUGCCUAAUACAUGCAAGUCGAGCGAACGGACGAGAAGCUUGCUUCUCUGAUGUUAGCGGCGGACGGGUGAGUAACACGUGGAUAACCUACCUAUAAGACUGGGAUAACUUCGGGAAACCGGAGCUAAUACCGGAUAAUAUUUUGAACCGCAUGGUUCAAAAGUGAAAGACGGUCUUGCUGUCACUUAUAGAUGGAUCCGCGCUGCAUUAGCUAGUUGGUAAGGUAACGGCUUACCAAGGGAACGAUGCAUAGCCGACCGGAGAGGGUGAUCGGCCACACUGGAAGGGAGACACGGUCCAGACUCCUACGGGAGGCAGCAGUAGGGAAUCUUCCGCAAUGGGCGAAAGCCUGACGGAGCAGCGGCGCGUGAGUGAUGAAGGUCUUCGGAGCGUAAAACUCUGUUAUGAGGGAAGAACAUAUGUGGAAGUAACUGUGCACAUCUUGACGGUACCUAAUCAGAAAGCCACGGCUAACUACGUG